CCCACCCUCUCUUCUCACGCUAUGAUGAUGGGAAAGCAGAGCUCCAUUCCAGGGACCUCGACAAUAACAGUGGUUCACUACAGCUCUGAUGACAGAGAACUAGAGAAGCGUGGAGGAACUGGAGUCCAUGGCACGCUAACCUUCAUAAACAACCUAUUUAACUGCUGCUUUUGGUAACUGCUUGUCGUGUGUGUGUGUGUGUGUGUGUGUGUGUGUGUGUGUGUGUGUGUGUGAGAGAGAGAUUCCCUCUACUGCAUUGAAGGGGUACAGAAUGAUUUGUUCAUAGAAGACAUGGUGUGGAGAACCUUUCCCGAGUCCCGACAGCAUCCUGUUAAACUGUAAAGUACAGAGCUUUAUCAGCAUCUCAGGCCCAUCUAACCUGUCACUGAUCAGAACACGAUGACGGCAGGUUAGUGUCAUCUUACUGCAGCUAAUCUACUUCAUCAGUGUAGAUGGUCGACUAGACCAGUAGCUACAGUUCAUAGUGGCUGCCGGCUCAGUCUCCGGGUCAGUCUCGGGCUCAGUCUCCGGGCUCAUCUCUGGGUCAGUGUCAGUCUCAGUCUCUGGCUCAGUCUCCGGCUCAGUCUCCGGCUCAGUCUCCGGCUCAGUCUCCGGCUCGGGCUCAUCUCCGGGCUCAGUCUCGGGCUCAGUCUCGGGCUCAGUCUCCGGGCUCAGUCUCCGGGUCAGUCUCCGGGUCAGUCUCCGGGUCAGUCUCGGGUCAGGCUCAGUCUCAGUCUCUGGGUCAGGCUCAGUCUCCGGCUCAGUCUCCGGGUCAGUCUCCGGGUCAGUCUCCGGCUCAGGCUCAGUCUCCGGCUCAGUCUCCGGCUCAGUCUCCGGCUCAGUCUCGG
ensembl:lncRNA